UCCUCGGUAAUAUAGUGGUCACUAUUCCCGCCUGUCACGUUGGCGACCGGGGUUCGAUUCCCCGCCGGGGAG
rnacentral:tRNA from 1 species